CAGAAACUUUUUCUCUGCUCUUACCACAGAGUCUGGCGCAUUUCUACCCAGCCCUCUCCCUUCACAUACUUGUUCAGAGUUGUAAGAGAGCUUCUGUCUAGCUCUGAUCAACGACAGGAAAGAAUGGGAAAGAUAAGGCAGGUUGGUAACCUAAAUAACCAUACAGAUGAAGAUAAUACAUACACAAGGCAGGCAAAUUUGUACAUUGGUACAAGGUCAAGAAAACAAACUGCAAGAUGAACAGUAACCAGGACUCUGUACAGAAGAAUAGUUACAAUUCCAGUACCAAAAGCUUCCAGGACCAAAUCUCUUCAAGGCUUCUUUGUUCAAGGAAUAAGAACAAAGCCUUUACCUGGAUCCAAUGAUAGGAAGCUGUAUUUAGGAGACAGGCUGCUGGAACAAUAAUUACUACUCUUCAUAAAACAAAUGAAGGCACAGUGAAGAAUGAAGAAUU